AACGAACGCUGGCGGCAUGCCUAACACAUGCAAGUCGAACGGGAUCCAGUCUUCGGAUUGGUGAGAGUGGCGGACGGGUGAGUAACGCGUGGGAACCUGCCCAGUGGUGGGGGAUAACUGCGGGAAACUGCAGCUAAUACCGCAUGAGCCCGAGCGGGGAAAGAUUUAUCGCCAUUGGAGGGGCCCGCGUUCGAUUAGGUAGUUGGUGGGGUAAUGGCCUACCAAGCCGACGAUCGAUAGCUGGUCUGAGAGGAUGAUCAGCCACACUGGGACUGAGAUACGGCCCAGACUCCUACGGGAGGCAGCAGUGGGGAAUAUUGGACAAUGGGGGCAACCCUGAUCCAGCAAUGCCGCGUGAGUGAUGAAGGCCUUCGGGUUGUAAAGCUCUUUUGCCAGGGACGAUGAUGACGGUACCUGGAGAAUAAGCCCCGGCUAACUCCGUGCCAGCCGCCGCAGUAAGAC
rnacentral:rRNA from 1 species